UUCAUGCAGUUGGUCUGAGGACACCUUAGGAUGUAGAUACCCUCAUAUAGUGUAUGAAGUUAAACAUAUUAAUGAUCUGUGUGAGGUAUUACUUUGAUGCAGAGACAAGGUGAAGACCAUGUAAUUUGUGCAUCAUAUUUGUUAGUCCCUACUUUUCAUAUUAUUUAUUUAUUUAUUUUUUUACCAUAUUCUUCCAAUUUUCAUUUUAAAUCAUCAUCCUUAGUACAAUUCUCAUGGGCAUAGAUAAAUUUGGGAAGACCUAGGUUUUCUUUGAUAUAAGGGUGAAGAAUGAUGUAAAAGAUUAAUAUUCUCUUUAUUUAUUUUAGAAGUUGCAUUUAUAUAUACUUUUUCUGAUAACUGAUUCCCAUAAUAAAUUUUGGGAGAGUUCUCAAUUUUUUUUUGUCUUAGAAUCUCUGCCUCUGUUGCAUUGCUAUUCCUUCAUUGUAUUCUUAUAUUGUUACAAAAUUCCUGUCAGUACCACAACAUGACAGAUUUUUAGUAUGAUUGACACAAAGUCCUCAAAAAUCAUUGUCACUUGAAAUUAACUCAUUAAUGCUGUGUAUAUGCACUGCCCACUGUUAACAUUUUCUGUAUUCUUGGGGUCUGUUGUGUGUGGUUGUGCAUACAUAGUUGUGUAUAAGUGCAUAAUUCUGUACAAAUGUAUAGUCAUUUGAUUUUUUCUCUUGUACUUCCACAUUUUUCUCUGCUUCUCCAUAUUACAUCUAAUAGCAUAUGAUUAAUAAAACCACACACACACACACAAAAAUUAUAUAUAUAUAUAUUAAAUAUGUUAUUUAAUUGGUAUAUCAUAUGCAUGUUAGUCCCAGGUUACAUGAAUUUAUCAUAUGGAUAUACAAUACAAUAGCUAAUUGUGUUUCAUUUGAUGUUCAGUCAGUCUGAAAGGAGAGUUUUUAUUGAGGUUAAUGUUGUAAUGCAGUCAUUCACAUUAGAUUUAUAUUUACUGAAAUAUGACAUUCAUGUAGCAGGGUGACUUUCAAGAACUAGCCAAAUUUGUAUAGGUCGCUUCACAAAACAUUUCUUUGGUACUUAAGACAUUUAUGGUUAUUGAAAUCUCAGUCUUUUCCUCUUUCUGAAAUGCCCUCAACCUUUUCUUAGUAUGGUGAUGGUAGAGUGCUCUUUCCUUCUUCUCCUCUUCCUCUUCCUCUUCCUUUUCCUCUUCCUCCUUCCCUUCCCCUUCUUCUAUAUUCUUGUGUAAAUAGUUUUGGUACAAGUCUAUGGUAAAGGUCUAUUGAUAAUGGUUUAUCUCUCCCUCAGAGGCCCUCAUACCUAUGGUUCUGACAUUGUGGCUCAUCCGAUCACCACCAUUUCCAUCUCAACAGCCCAUCCAUGACUGCUUCUUGAAUAUCACACUUGAGAAAUCAAGCAGGUCUCUGUCAGAGGUCAAGGAGAAUUUUUUUUUUUUUUUCUAAAGCCAAAAUACUCUUCCCCCCUACUGAAUUUUAACUAAAUGUUUGAACUUGGCUUGCACUUAAAAAAAAAAAAAAACACUCAAAAGAGAAUAAAGAGAGAGAACUGUUGUAGUAAAGUUAAUGAGUGUGAAAAAAAAUAACGGUCUGCACGUGGAAGAGCACAAGAUUCCCAGGAUCCUGGCAUAGAGAGAUAUGUGCCUUUUGAUCACAUAGUUGAUUCUGACAUUGUCUAGAAUUCCUGCUUAUCCUUGUUCAUAACCUUUGCAUUUACACUGUUAGUGACUUGCUUCAUAAGACAGUAUGUUAGGAUACUGAUUGUGAGGAUACCAAGAACCCUUAGCUAGCAAGUGCUAGUAUAUAUUUCACUCUUUUUUUUAUGUUCUGAUACCAUGUCAUAUAUUAUUUAAUGACUCAUGGUAUAUGAAUGUUACUAUGAUAACUCUUUCUUUUUUAUAUUAUUUUCCUUUUCCCUUUUUUCUUUGUAGUAAUCUUCUAGAAAUGACCUUGACAAAGAGAGAAAGAAAAAAGAAAAAAAAAAAAAGUUGAUGUGUCUCAUAACUAAGAGAUUACAAUGAAUGUGCACACUUGACAUUGUCUUUUGUAGUAUAUUGCAAAGGGGUUAGACUAGUUUUCUUAUUUAUUCAUUCACAGUCUCUUUUGCAGGAAGAGGAAGACAAAGAUCUUGGAGAUUUUGAGAAGAAUUGGAAGUUUGAUUUUGAUGAAGGUGAAAAGGAAUAAUUCAGGAUAGAAUGACCACGAGGGAAUUUUGCAAUUUUAUACAAAGAGAUAACAGAAAGAAAAAUGGAAUGGAACAUUUAAAUUCACCUAUUUAUAAUAUAAACGAUAGACCAGUUGUCUGUGCUUGUGAAACAAUGAGUGGCAUUCAGGAGAGAGAAAUGAACCCGAGCAUAUAUUCCCUCUUCGUAUAUUGUGUGUAAGAGAAACGUCAGAAUGGACACUUUUAUUAUAUUUCUCAUAUUUGAGGAGUUCAUUUGAUUUCUGACACUUUAUGCAAAUAUUUGAUUGAUGUAAUCGUGUUGCUCUUCAGAGUGACUGCAAUUGUGAAUACAUCAUUACAGUUUAUUGUUUUCAUCAUCAUAAUCAUCAUUAUCAUGAAUGUUUAGAACAAAACAUUUUUCAGCUACAUUUGUAUAGUAAUUAUUAUUUCUCACAUGUCUAUAGUAGAAUGUGUCGAAGAUGGGUAAAUUGGAGCGUGAUAAUCUUUGUUGAAUCAGUCAUUGCUGUGUGGUCAUCAAUCAGUGAUGUCACGCAGUUUGUCAUCAGAAUGUCUUGUGAAUGAAUGUUCAUCAACUUUCUCCUUACUGAUUUUAAAAAGGCAAAGGUAAAAUUCUAGGAGAUUUAACCCUAGUAUGAAUUUUAAGAAUAAAAAAAUACAAAAUGUUGAUUCAUAUGUUCUCCAAAAACUGCAGUGAUUCUGUGGAAGAUUUUUUUUGAAAGAUACAAAACACUCUUGCCUUUUAGACCAAACUGACCAUAGCUCAUACCAGCAUUGCAGAGCUUCAUUAGUUUCAGAAUAUCAUUUUGUCACCAGUAAUAUUUAAGAGGCUGAAAGUUCAUUUCAUUUCAUUUUUCAUUCUUUCUUUCAUUCGAGUUUUACAUUAAUAAUGGUCAUGCAUUGUAAGAAAGCAGACAAGAGUAUCCUCCACAGUUUCACCAGUUUAGUUGGCUUUGACAUCUGUGCCCUUCAGGUAUAUUCAUUUUUUUACAAAAAAUCACUGCCUGUUGAAACCCAUUGUCUGAUAUAUGUUAAUGUUUGCCAUGAUGAAUACCUUGUGUGUGUUUCAUAUUGGAAUAGUAUGUAUUAUAUUGUACAGUAGACGAAAUCGGUAAGAGACUUCAGUGCUGUUUCAUAUGAUUCAGAAUAGUAUUAAUAUGUGUUUAACACUGAAGAAGAAUGAAUUAUGAGACACAAAUGCUGGAUGACCUCUUUUGCUUGGAAAGAGAAGAAAACUCACUUCAAGAUGGUUGUAGAGUUUGUAGUUUCUUUAAUUUUCACUUUGUUAAGAGGGUCCUUUUUAUACAGUAACCAUCUCUUUAUUUUGCCUUGGUGCCAAAUAUGUACGUGGACUUGUUUCCUUUUUUUAAUUUUUUUUCUGAUUCAUGCUUUUAUCUUUUUGUGAAAGAUUUCAGUUGUCAGGGGAGGAGGCUGGCAGUAUGAGAAAUAGGAAUAUGAGGUUUGUGGGUCCUUUGUCCUUUCAAGCAGAGAGGUCCAGCAUAUCCCAACUAGACAUUUCCUAUUUGGAAACUAUGUUACUUAAUGGGAAGUGUCCAAAUUACAUGAACACUUUAAAAAAAAUAUAUGUAUUGUAAUAAAAAGAAAGGAAGAAAAUUGCUAACUGAGCAUGUAUUUGUUUCUUUCAAGUCAUCUCUUAAGAAUUUUUGAACAUUUGAAACCCUUGCUUUUUUGUAAAAAACAUGGGCUAGCUUGCUAGUUUAAACAAAAAAAAAGAAUUAAAACUUAAUGUUGAUGUGUAUUUCUUAACAGAAAUGUUUGGUUAGUGCUAGACUGUCAAGAUGUAACUUUCACUGAGUGGUAGCAUCAUAAGGAUGGUGAAGAACUAGUGUAAACUAAUGAUUUCAACCAACAGUGACUGAAAAGAUGGUGUUCAUGUUACAGAGCCUAUAUUAGGAAUUUUUGAAAUUGAUAAAAAUGUACUCUUUUUAUCAAUAAUUGAAAACAUUGAUUUGCGGUGGCAAGAUUAUUGAUAUUAGUAUCGAAUUCACACUUCCCAAUGGGAAUUUUCUUUUAUUUAACCUCUUUGUUUACUAGGUGUACUUUGUUUUGCAAAAUCCUGUGCGGUAGGAUGGUGUAGAUUUUACAUUUGAUAUUUUCUGCAUAUGGUCAUUUGCAUUUGCUUGUAAUUAACAGAUAACAUUUUGAAAUUCAAGUUUUGGGGUCUUGCAGCAUGACAUAGUUACUGUCAUCUGUAAUUAUUAUUAUUUUUUUUUUCAUCAUACUGCAUCUUAGUCCAUCUGUUUAUAGAUGUGAAGCAUAUUCUCAAGAAUGAUUCCACUAUGAUAUAACAGUUGCCUACACUGUUCACUGCAGACACACCUCAGAAUGUAAUGCAUAGCUUGACUUCCAUAUGUUCUUUGUCAUGACUAACAAGGGCUCGAGAGUCUUUAGAAUUUGGAUUAAGUAUUAUUUGCAAUAUUUUUAAGCCAUUAAUGUUUGCAGUCUUUACUGUUUAGAAGUAGCAGCUGUUCAGAAACUGCUACCACAGAAUGAAUAUAUAUCAAUAUUUGCAUGUAUAGAUUAGUUUUAGUUUUGAAAAUGUUACAGGUAAUCCACUUUGCCUCAAUUAAAAGGAUCUGUGGUUUCACCACAGACUAGCAAAACGUUCAUAUCAUCAAGGUUGCUUUUUUAAUCUUGACUUAGUCACUGAAGGCAACAUUUGUAAUCAAAUAAUUUUGUGGAUAUUUCUGGAGAUGUUUUCAGCAAAGAGAAAUCCUCCACAAGUAUUCAAAGACAUUUUAUUUUAUUUCAUCUAAGGUAUAUCAACUGGUUGCCAAUCAGAAAGUAUAUCUUACCAAUGUUCUUCUUGUCCAACAAAGGCAAAUCAGCAAGGAGGUGUUCUUAACUAUAGCUUUUCUGUCAAUGUUAACAAUGUAUGUAUAUAUUCAGUUUGUAAUUUGUCUGUCAUAGGGAGCAGAGAACUCACUUUGCUGAAUAGUGGUAAAGCUAAUUCAUACUUUGGGAUCAGCUGUUAUGAGCAGUGUUAAAUACACCUCUUAUCCAUCAUACUUUUAAAUGAGGAACAGGUAAAAUUACAGUGCUUUAAAAAAAUAAAUGCAUAAAGAGAAAAAAGUGAUUUACCUUGGAUUGGACAAAGAAUGUUGAAAGUGGUUUAUGAUUAAACACUUAGACUGGUAAUGUUAGUGACUCAAGAGUAGGUGGGUUUAGUAAAGUGGGCUAAGUGUGUUACAUUAAAAAAAAAAAAAGAGGUUCUUCUGUGGAAUGAAAUGGUAAUCAACUUUGGUUCUGUUUUUGCUGAGGAUGAGGUGGGUAGUGCGCUCCAAAGCUCAUAAUGGUUGGUCUCGUCACAUGGUGUGGUGAAGCCAGAGAUGCAGCCAGGUGUAGAACCCUGUUUGUAGUGGUUAGUGGCCGUUACAUGGUCUUAUAGAAGCUUUUUAUCUAUGUCCUUUUUGCAAAUGAUACAAUAUUAUAUCGUAAAGUGAAAGGUAGGAUUGUUAAUAUUUUGAUUUUCAAUGAAAGUAUGGUAUCCUUGAGGUAUUAUGUGUUACCUCUGUAUUGCAGUGUUACCUUUUCUGUGAAAUGGAAUUAUCUAUUGGGCUUUGUAUUAGCCUGAAGAAAAUGUUAGAACUCCUUAUAGGAAUACAAUGACAUUUUGGUCAAAUUUUUGUGCACAUUAAAUACCUCCUAAUCCAAACUUUCAUCACAGUAACACAUUAAAGCUUGUUAAGAAUAAAAAUACAAAAAAAAAAAACAAGAAAAUGACACAAAAAAUAACAUACAAUCUAGGUGUGUUUAACAUAUCUUGGUUGUGUUUAGUGCUGACGGUGCUGCAUUUGACACAGCCUGUAAUAAAACAGAUGCAGAAUACAGGUGAAGGAGGUUUUCAGAUGUGUUUCCUGGUAGCAACUCUGGUCUGGUGGAUAGGGUCUCACAGUGAGAAGUUUGGGGACCUUUCUGUGUUGUCUGUGUAGCCGCAACAAACGGACAGAAAGAAACAUGUGCCUCAUCCAAUUGGAAACUCUGAACUGAUUUAUAGUUUGUAGUAGUGUUUUUACAAAAAAAAGAUUUAUUUUGAAAAAAAAAAUUCUCUCUUUUUUUUUUGGUAGCUUAUGAUUUAAAAUUUUAUUAUUGUUAUUAAUAUUUUGCAGUAGCCAUUUUAGUUACCGAGAAAUUGAACUUGAAGGAGUUUAUUAAAUGAUUUAUGUAUAGUUUGUUUGAAGAAAAGGAAAAAAAAAGCAGAUUCUCCAUAUCAUUGUAUAAGGCUUAGAUUAGAAUUGAUGAAGUACUGUACAAACUAGAUAAAACUGUCUUGUUUGUUGAGGAGCCCGACAUCAUGGAAAGGUCUCACGCAGAUGUUAGCAUGUUGCACAUGUAUUAUUACGAUUAUAUUAAUCAAUAUUAUGUCAUGUAAUUGCCUAUGAAAUAAAUCACUCAUGUCAAUUUA